UUAUUAAGAUGUUGUGGCAUUGAUUUCACCACUUGCAUUUCCUCUGCUUGUGAGCAAAACUGGUGAGACUUCUUUUCCCUUGUCAUUUUUGUUUCUGUUAAUAGAUACACGAAGUUAAUAUCAUCAUAUGAAAUUUUUGUACCUUAGAAAAGAACAUGAAUUUCUAUUUUUAUUAUUCUAGAAAAUGCCUCAACGAAGAACCUUUUUUGUGUUAAUCAUACUAGAGGUCCUGUAUUUCGUCACUCCAUAAAUGGGCCGCUUUCUUUGGUGGACCAUUGAAUAAUUCACAAUGAUUGGACAAUCUUAGUGUUUUUACCAUGGAAUUCUCCCCUCUUGAUCAUUUUUGUUUUCAGCCAUUUGCUUGAAGGCCUUUAAUCAAAUGGCCAGGUGAUCAUGUCAGUUUGACUUUUGAACUGGGGUCAUCCACAAUGGGACCCACCAGAAGGACGUUUUGGAUCAUCCAAAUAUGCAGCUAUGUGGGGCUCAUCGAUGUAGAGGCCAAUAAGAGGACUUCAAGGACUCCACUGGCACAAAAGUUCUUAAUUUGAAAUGGCAUAAGCAUGCAGUAGCUACUGAAUUUCUUUUACUAGUAACCUUGCUCUGUUUUGACUAAUCAUGUUUCCUUGAUAAAAAAAACAAACAAUGUUAUCUUGCUAGUUCAAAUGAGAUUCUAAUUAUAUGUAUAAUUCAUGCUCAGUUUAUGAGAAACCAUUUACAUUAUUUGGUUGCAGCAAUGGUAAUAAUCAUCACUGAGUAUCUUGAACAUGAUUGGAUAGUAAAGUUCACCAGUUUUAAUAUCCAUCAUCUGGCCUUAGGAAGACCCACUUGAGGUGAUCUCAGCAAUGGAACUGACCCAUUUUCUCCAUUUCGUUGCAUUGUCAAUCUGGUAAUUCUUCACCUAGCUGAUCAUCAUCUUCUCUAACAUCGUCAAGGGCGCUGCCGACAUCAUGGCCACAGCCACUGCUACAAUCACAACGAAGUGUGGAGCUAGUCGGCAUGUAUGAGGGGUGACUGGUCAGGAUGUGGAGAAUGGUUGUUCAUGGAAGUUCAUUUCUCUGUUAUAGUUUCUUUGCACUGCCCAAUCUAUGAAUGGUGUGAGAUAUUUGGAUGAUGUUUUUUUUUUUUUCCCUUAUCUGUACUUUUUUUUAAAAUUUUAUUUGUUCAAUAUGUUGAUAUGGUAUCAUGUUCUGUUAUUGUUCAAUACUUCAACAUAACAAACGGCUUCUGUACAGUUUGAUUUGUAUUUAGUGUAUCUAUAUUUGGAUGUAAUAUGAUUAUUAAAAGUGAAAGAGAAAUUGAUUAGAGUA